rnacentral:tRNA from 1 species
GCGGGCGUGGCGAAAUUGGUAUACGCACGAGACUUAAAAUCUCCGGUCCUAUGGACGUGCGGGUUCAAGUCCCGCCGCCCGCA